rnacentral:rRNA from 1 species
GAUGAACGCUGGCGGCGGGCCUAACACAUGCAAGUCGAGCGAACGGACGAGACUCUCUCCUUUCUUAUGUUAGCGACGGACGGGUGAGUCAUACGUGGCUAACUUACCUUUAAGACUGGCAUCACUUCGGGAAAGCUGAUCCAACAUCGGUCAAUAGUUUGAACCUCAUGGUUCAAAGGUGCACGCCCGUCUUGCUGUCCCUUAUAGAUGUUUCCGCGCUGCAUUAGCUAGUUGGUAAGGUAACGGCUUACCAAGGCGACGAUGCAUAGCUGACCUGAGAGGAUGAUCAGCCACACUGGAACUGAGACACGGUCCAGACUCCUACGGGAGGCAGCAGUAGGGAAUCUUGCACAAUGGGCGAAAGCCUGACGGAGCAACGCCGCGUGAGUGAUGAAGGUCUUCGGAUCGUAAAGCUCUGUUAGUAGGGAAGAACAUAUGUGUAUGUAUAUGUGCACAUUUUGACGGUACCUAAAGAGAAAGCAACGGCUAACUACGUG